GAUGAACGCUGGCGGCGUGCUUAACACAUGCCAGUCGAACGGAAAGGCCGAAGCUUGCUUCGGUACUCGAGUGGCAAACGGGUGAGUAACACGUGGGUGAUCUGCCCUGUACUUCGGGAUAAGCUUGGGAAACUGGGUCUAAUACCGGAUAUGACAAUCUCUUGGAUGGGGUUGUGGAAAGCUUUUGCGGUAUGGGAUGAGCUCGCGGCCUAUCAGCUUGUUGGUGGGGUAAUGGCCUACCAAGGCGUCGACGGGUAGCCGGCCUGAGAGGGUGUACGGCCACAUUGGGACUGAGAUACGGCCCAGACUCCUACGGGAGGCAGCAGUGGGGAAUAUUGCACAAUGGGCGCAAGCCUGAUGCAGCGACGCCGCGUGGGGGAUGACGGCCUUCGGGUUGUAAACUCCUUUCGCAACCGACGAAGCUUUUGUGACGGUAGGUUGAGAAGAAGCACCGGCUAACUACGUG
rnacentral:rRNA from 1 species